rnacentral:rRNA from 1 species
AUUGAACGAGGGAGGAAGGAGGAACACAUGCAAGUCGAGCGGAUGAAGGGAGCUUGCUCCUGGAUUCAGCGGCGGACGGGUGAGUAAUGCCUAGGAAUCUGCCUGGUAUUGGGGGAUAACGUCCGGAAACGGGCGCUAAUACCGCAUACGUCCUGAGGGAGAAAGUGGGGGAUCUUCGGACCUCACGCUAUCAGAUGAGCCUAGGUCGGAUUAGCUAGUUGGUGGGGUAAAGGCCUACCAAGGCGACGAUCCGUAACUGGUCUGAGAGGAUGAUCAGUCACACUGGAACUGAGACACGGUCCAGACUCCUACGGGAGGCAGCAGUGGGGAAUAUUGGACAAUGGGCGAAAGCCUGAUCCAGCCAUGCCGCGUGUGUGAAGAAGGUCUUCGGAUUGUAAAGCACUUUAAGUUGGGAGGAAGGGCAGUAAGUUAAUACCUUGCUGUUUUGACGUUACCAACAGAAUAAGCACCGGCUCCCUUCGUC